rnacentral:rRNA from 1 species
UACGUAGGGUGCAGGCGUUAAUCGGAAUUACUGGGCGUAAAGCGUGCGCAGGCGGUCUUUUAAGUCAGAUGUGAAAUCCCCGGGCUUAACCUGGGAACUGCGUUUGAAACUGGAAGGCUUGAGUGUGGCAGAGGGGGGUGGAAUUCCACGUGUAGCAGUGAAAUGCGUAGAGAUGUGGAGGAACACCGAUGGCGAAGGCAGCCCCCUGGGCUAACACCGACGCUCAUGCCCGAAAGCGUGGGGAGCAAACAGG